rnacentral:rRNA from 1 species
UACAGAGGGUGCGAGCGUUGUUCGGAAUUACUGGGCGUAAAGCGUGCGUAGGUGGUUCGUUAAGUCUGAUGUGAAAGCCCUGGGCUCAACCUGGGAAUGGCAUUGGAAACUGGCGACCUAGAGUGCGGUAGAGGGUAGUGGAAUUCCCGGUGUAGCAGUGAAAUGCGUAGAGAUCGGGAGGAACAUCCGUGGCGAAGGCGACUACCUGGACCAGCACUGACACUGAGGCACGAAAGCGUGGGGAGCAAACAGG